rnacentral:rRNA from 1 species
CCUACGGGUGGCAGCAGUAGGGCAUAUUGCUCAAUGGGGGAAACCCUGAAGCAGCAACGCCGCGUGGAGGAUGAAGGUUUUAGGAUUGUAAACUCCUUUUGUGAGAGAAGAUAAUGACGGUAUCUCACGAAUAAGCACCGGCUAACUCCGUGCCAGCAGCCGCGGUAAUACGGAGGGUGCAAGCGUUACUCGGAAUCACUGGGCGUAAAGAGUGCGUAGGCGGGAUGCCAAGACAGCGGUAAAAAUGCGGUGCUCAACGCCGUCGAGCCGUUGAAACUGGCGUUCUUGAGUGGGCGAGAAGUAUGCGGAAUGCGUGGUGUAGCGGUGAAAUGCAUAGAUAUCACGCAGAACUCCGAUUGCGAAGGCAGCAUACCGGCGCCCUACUGACGCUGAGGCACGAAAGCGUGGGUAUCGAACAGGAUUAGAUACCCUAGUAGUC